AUUCCAAUAAUAUAAACCGGGUUGAAACAAAGCGAGGUGAGAGGAGUUCCGGUUGUGCAGGUUCGCAAGAGCCGGAGGGAAGGUUGGACUAUGCCCAAGAGAGGGCGCUGAGAAGAAUCCCCAUCCCAACAGGCUUCCAUCAAUUGCCAACAUUCUUCAUCAAAAAUGGGAAGACGUUCAGGGCGAACACCUAAAAGAGAAUAAAGAAUGUGGUAAUGUAAUGAAGACUAUUUUACUAAGAUUUGACUUCAUCACUAACAGUAAGUUUUUCAAGAUAAAUUCACCUGUGAAGAGUUCAGGAGCCAUAUGUAUAGGUGUCCCAACAAUACUUCCAGACAUCAUUGCUUCAGGUUUACAAAAUCCCAGUACCCUUCCAGGAUUUAUUUUCAGAUGAAACAGUAGACUGCAGAAAAAACGCAAUCUCCCCAAUCCUAUAGAAAGAAACCUAAGAGUAAAGUUUCAUUAAUAAGCACUCUAUAUUCAAAACUCAUCUGAAUGCUGUAUCCUGUCCUCAACUUAUGAAUGGUCGCUUAGCCACCAUUUGAACUACUGAUGGAUCUACCUGGGGACUCCUUUUACAUCAAACUGACCUGUCGCAAAGAAGCAGCAAAAGCUUCAUGAGAGCUAUUUAGUCUUGUUCGGAACUGGCUGCAGAUGCUCUUUGCCAAUCUGGACGCGCUAAGACUCUCAAUGGCAUCCUGAGCUAUCUUCCUUUUCCACUCCCUGGUGAUAGCAGCAUCCGUGAUACUGUUGAACCAGAGUGAAAAGUAACUUCUACGUGAUAGGCUGCAUUCAAUAUCUUCAAACAGAAAAUAGAUUAAUUAUAUAUCUGCAAAUUGAAAGAACUGUCCACUAUAUUUAAAGAACUGAGUAGCUUGGAAAGAGCUUCAUAAAUAAAUUCCAAUAAAUCAACUCUGUGCCAAAAAGCAAA